AGAAGAGUGAAGACUCACAUCAGUUUAUUAGAAAAUUGUGAGACCCAUUAGUGUGCAUUUUUAACAAAACUAGUGUGCUAGUGGAAUUAUCCAAAUACAUAACUGUAGCCGUAUUGUGCAUUUUUAACUACAGGUGGCAAACUUUUAUAAGCUAAGAAGUUUUCGCAAGAUUCAAGGGAUUUGCAUUUAUAUGUUUGAAACAUGAUAUUUCUUAAGCCCAUAUUCACCUUACCAAAAUCUCAUUUUUGGUAUGAUGAGCAAAAUUCUUCACGAGGAAUAACAUGGAAGGAGGCUCAUGUGUCAAUAUCCAAAUGCAACAAUCAGAUGCAACAUUUAGAUACUUUUAUUCUCCAAUAAGAAAUACAUUUUCAUCAUCUGAGACUAUUGGAGUAGUUGUUCCAUCUUUGUUCUCCUUAUUUGGGUCAAUCUAGGCAAGAUGAACAGUCCCAACUUAUUGAUACUUUUGUGCCACAAUAAUAAAAAUUUAAUUUGAUGAGACACUUUGAUCUACAUUGGAAUUUUAUGCGACCUCUAUUACAACGAUUCUUAAUCUUUUCUUAAUUUUCAA